CCACGUCAUCACUUCCGACUACCAGGGCGGUACAAGUACUUACUUCAUCGUCGGAGUACUUUUUCAGAUAAAUCCUGACCAAACAUUAGCAUUUAAGAAAAUCACCAACACGUUUAUAAUUUUACAAAUAAUUUCGAGUACUAUCUGUACCGUCCGGGUCUUGGCCUUAGCUGUUGACCAAAGUCAAAGGGGGACCCCCGAAGGUAGGGCCCACGAGGAGGAGCCUCGUCAGGCUCGCGAGUAAGGAGAACCGAGGAGGCCAAGAACACUGAGCUUGUGGUGUUCCGUGACGGUAGCGCGACAGUGUUUCCAGUCAUACUGACUUGAGCGUCAGAGUGCAAACGGCCGCGAGGACGUCCUUUACCCUUUUGUUUCAAGUGCUCACGACGAAGGAAGGAGAGCAAGACAAAACGGAGACAAAGGAACUUUCGAGACGUGGAUCAUUGAGACGUACAAGGACCUAUUUGCUGAGCCGGUCGGAACACUAUCUAAACCUCUU
rnacentral:lncRNA from 1 species